UACAUCGCGUGCCUAUUGAUGAUAGAAUAAAAUAAUGUCCUACGACUUUGUAGAACACAUUUUUAUUUAGAAAAAGUGACGCGACAGCAUAUGUCUAAACAUUACAGUUAUGCCGCAAUAAGUGUUCUUUCUUUUUAAAAAAUAAAAUAAUGUCAAAUAUCGUUAAAAUUUUUGUUAAAAUCCAAGCCAAAUUUCCAAGCGGAGCCGGAGAGGGCCGCUAGUCUAAAAUAAAAGCGAAAACAUCGACAAUGCUGGGAGUAGGAACCAAAUCACUGCUCACUCUUUAAGAUGCUAUUUAAAGCUCCUAAUAAGAAGGGGGAAUAGGACUGCUGAAACAAUCUGAAGCAGAGACUUGUGGCACGAACACAAAGAAAGAAAUUGAUAGAGACGACUAGUUAACUAUAAUGAUUAUGGAUUAAAAAUCAUAUCUCCAAAAAUAUCUGUAUUUCAAAUUGCCACAGAACCUACUGUUAGACAUAUAAGCCAUACUAUGGUUCAAAAGCACGCAAAAAUAACUAUAAUUUUAUAAAAUGUAAUUAAAGUAAAUUUAACGAAAUAGGUAAUAAAAUUCAAAAAUCGUUCCAUGACGCAAUAAAUUUUUGAAUUUGUUAAAGAAUAUUUUAAUGUUUAUUAAAUGUAAUAAAGCGAUGAGAUUUGCCCUGUAAAGUUAUGUGUCAGUCAGUGCACUUUUAUUUUGUUAUUGUAUCGCAUAUAUAUAGAGUAUUCAUGCAUUUAGAUAGCUUCAAUGACCUCAACGCCUCGUGGUUCAAACUGAAAAUAAUGAUAACCAUAUUGAAAUUAAACAUAAAAUUCAGUGAAUUCGACUUAGAGCAAUUAAGAGAAACUAUACAAUAAUAUUGUAUUUAUAUCGCAAAGCUGCCAGAAAUUUUAGCGCUAGUUUAUUUGUGAUAGCUAAAAACAUAUCUAUCACAAAUAAACGCCACCGCGCAGCGCCUCGCGCGCUUUUCUCAAGACGUAGUCUCUCGGCAGGAAUUGGAAGAAGAGGAGGACCACGGUCUUCCUCUCUGGAGGCGCUGGAGUCCGAUAUAACCCGGUUUGUUACCCCUUCGAUGGGGUUUCAAUUAACGGAUUUCUCAGGGCUAAUAAAAAUAAAUAAUAGCUUAAAAAAACUAACAAAAUACACUUUUAUAGAAAAUCCAACUAAAAGAAAAUUGAAAAAAUUUAAAUUCCACUAAAAAUGAAAAAUAAAUAAUCAUUUAAAAAAACUAACAAAAUACGCUUUUAUAGAAAAUCCAACUAAUUUUUUAUUAUUAUUUUUCAUUUAUUAUUUUUUCAAUUUUUAUUUUAAUGUUGAAUUGUCAUCGGUCCUUAAUAAGAAUACCAAAUUUCGAGUUAAUUCGACGUUUUGAAGGGGGUCAAAAUCAUGUUCAAAGAUUCCGUUACAAACAUACAUACCUUUUUUUUUUUUUAUUGCCCUUGUAGGCAGACGAGCAUACGGCCCACCUGAUGGUGAGUGGUUACCGUCGCCCAUGGACUUCAGCAAUGCCAGGGGCAGAGCCAAGCCGCUGCCUACCGUUUAAUACUCUCCACAAGCCUCGUUUGAAGAAGGACAUGUCAUAGCGCUCGGGAAACACCGUGGAGGGGAGCUCAUUCCAUAGUCGAAUGGUACGUGGAAAAAAAGACCUCUGGAAACGCACUGUGGAUGACCGCAGUUGCUCCAGGUAGUAUGGAUGAACUCUACUCCGGUGGCGGGCGGUGCGAUGGUAAAAACGAGAUGCUGGUAUCAUCUCGAACAAUUGCUCAGAGCACUCCCCAUGAAACAUACGGUACAAAACACAGAGAAAAGUGAAGUCCCUCCGCAGACCCAGAGGUUCCAAACGAUCCGUGAGAAUGGGAUUAUCGACAAUCCGAACGGCCCUCCUCUGUAUGGAGUCAAUUGGAAGAAGCUGGUAUUUGAGAGCCCCGGCCCAGAGAUAAAACUAGCUAAAACACGGUUUACAAAGUUGUUGAUAGUUAUUUUAUAGAACAGGGUGUUUCUACCAAGUUGGCGUGCAAAUAUUAUUCAAAAUUAUUUACAUUAAACGCAGUCAGUAAAUUAAAUAUUAAUUGAUUAAAAUAUCAAACAACAAAAUAAAUUAAUUGAAUAAGAAAUAGUUAUUUAUGUCAUAAAACGAAAACAAAGAACAGAAGGAAGCGAAUUUAAAAUUAACAUAAUGAUUUAUCAUUAAAAAAAUCGUUAACUGUAUAACUGUAUACAUCUUAAGGUUAAUAAUUUUUUCAAGUUCUUUUUAAAUAAAAAUAAUUAGUCUUUUUUUUUUAUAAAGAACUUAUACUUUUUUAUACAGAACCAUUUACUUGUAACUCACAGUACAAUGUCAGUUUUGUCUUUGAUUUCACUAAGCAAAACGAAAUCUCGAUAAACCGAGGGUCGAGAUCCGAAUUCACUCGUUUUGACAUUGCGCUCUCUGGUCACGCAGCUAUCAUUUAUCUGUCUACUGUCAUUUUAAUGUUAUAGUAAUUGUUUAUAAUAAUAUUAUCAUAUCACGUUUUGGACAAUGAUAUCAGUGCUACAUUGUAUUGAGUUGUUAUAAAUUUCAGCUGCUUCUAGUUGUUGUUAAAUCAUCAAACUCUGCAAAUGAUUUUGUUUUGUCACGUGGAAGGAAAGAGAAGUCGAGGAAGAUUGCCAACCAGGUGGACGGACAUUAUCAAGGAGGCCACAAACACCAGCGUCCCGGGCGCCAUUAAGCAGGCCGAAUGCAGGCAACAUUGGAGGAAGCUGGUGCAAAAAUUGGACCAAGGCGGUCACGACCCUCAGUAAUGAGGAAACGACAAAGAAGAAGAAGAAAUGAAAUAUAUUGUUUUAAAUACAUUUAUUGUUUUAAUAUUGAACGUGUUGCAUCGCAAUAAUUACAAAACUAUUUUCUACCCUUUCAGAUACUGAGAACUCAUUCAAUGGCCGAACAAUUUACUCGAGCAUACUUUAAAGUUCAAUCUCAAAAUGAAUAUUCUCAGUAAAGAAACAGCAAUAACAGCAAACAUUUAAUUAACCGCCACAUUGGCAAACGCAGAAAGCAAUUCCACAGAACGUAAUAUUUUCAAGAAAACGAUUGAGACUCGAGAAAUUGCCCACUUAGAAGUCAUCGGUUGAUAUUAAUAAUUAGAUGGAGCAAAGCCGCGGAAACGUCAAGUUAAUUAAACUUUUGUCUUUCUAGCUGUGAAGGGAAACGUCGGGGUUUGCAUGUCAAGUGCUCUUCGCGUUGGUCGUACUUCCUUGAAAAUCAGAGGCACGUUCUGUUGACAUGAGAUCCUUAAAAAUGAUUGUGAUAAGUUGUCUCCAUUUUUUUAUGCCUAUAUAGAUGAAUGAGCUCACAGCCCACCUGGCGACAUCAGGCAAAAAAACUUCAUUUUUAAUCUGGUUGGAGCCUUUAAAUGGGUCUUUUUAGCAAAACGAACGAUUAGCGUAUCUUCUCUGGGAGAGGUUUUUCUUGGUCGAGCCUUUCUAACAGCAUUUUCAACAGUUCCCUGUGUUUUAUAAUCAACUGCAUGAAAAACUUUCUUAACAGAACAAUUUAAAUGCUCAGCUAUUCUUCUGUACGCCCACUUAUGAUCUAUAUGUAAAUUAACAAUUAUUUGCCUCGUUGACGCAUCACAACUUUUAAGCAAUUGAAUAGCUUUUAUCGCGGGCUUUGAGCGCGGCGACCGAAUCGCGAAAUUUAGUAACGAAAAUAAAACCUAACACCCCCCCACUCCGCCUACCAUGUAGCUCGCGUUCAACACAUUCACACUUUGCGCUUGUGUAGUGUUUGUGAAUAAGGGCGCGGCGUGACGUCGCACUGCAUGCGCAUCAUGAAGUCUGUUCAAUUCUCUCUCGCGCGGUCUAGCUUAUGAGUGUGAAGGGGACAAUUGAGUCGUCUAUUAUCAAAGGCGGCAAUCUGUGCAUUUGGACAACAAAAUUUUAUUGAUAUGUCAAUACAGAUUUAUUUGAAUAUAAUCGUCUCCUUCAAAGAAUACGGUUCAAAACCUGCAUUAAAUAAAGGUUAAUAGUUAACCUGUUAUUUAUCUAAGAUGUCGUUCCGAAGAGUUUUGUGACUGCCGAUGGAAUACAAAGUCAAUAAUUCGUUUUUCUGAUUUACCAAUCAUUGUCCAAAAGUCAGAUUGCCGCCUUUGAUAAUAGACGACUCAAUUAAUGUUUUGCUUUUGUUAAGUAUGUGUGUGUGUGCCUACGCAUACGGGGUAUUUCAACAAAUAUAGAACAGUGUGUUAACAGCAGGCAAGUGUUUCACUCGUGUAUCCCUCGUAUCUAACAGUGGCGACGAGGAAGAGGACAGGUCUGGGAUGGAGGGCAGCUCAGAAAGGGGGGGAGCUACCAAUUCUAAUGCUUGUGAUGAUAUUAGUUUACCGGUCGAAGUACCUCUCAUCACGUCACCGUCGCCGCAGCGGCAAGGUGUCGAGUUAGCAGAAGAGGAGGAUGAAUUUCUUGAGGCCCUACCAGACCCGUCUGUCGAAGAAGGCUCUGAUGGCAUACCCGCACGACAAAACGCCAGCAGACCUGAGUUUACAUCACGGAAUAAACGCAAUCGGCCUAGGGUUAACUAUAAGCAGUUUUUUUAGUAUAAGUUUCUUUUUUAAGUUUAGUAUAAUCUUUUGUUUUGUUUAGAGUAGUUAUGUACAUAUUAUAUCUAAGCUAAGGGGAGGAAUGUUAAGUAUGUGUGCGUGUGCCUACGCAUACGGGGUAUUUCAACAAAUAUAGAACAGUGUGUUAACAGCAGGCAAGUGUUUCACUCGUGUAUCCCUCGUAUCUAACAGCUUUUGUUAAUGUUUAUAAAUAUAGUGUGGUCUUAUUUUA